UUGUUUUCCUCUCUUCUAUGCAGGGUGUUCUUAAUAAUAUUGAUUAUUCUAAAUGGACCUGUAAGAAACGUCUGAUGAAUUCUGAUUUCAUCCCUCUGGGAGUCCCAGAAGGCGCGACUCAGGCAGGUGGUUGCAGGCUCCUCCUCUUUGUCAGGAAUGGAUGUACUGGUCAACAGCUGGAAGGGGGCAAUUCACCAGGGAAACGGUACAUUCAUCAGCUAUUACCAGUCUACCUUCACUGAAUUCGGCUGCCUGCCAAUGACCAACCUACUCUACACCCCACAGACCCACUGACAUCCAUCAGCUAUUACAACAUCCUGCUUGGCAUAAUGAACCCCAUGGAUUUCAUUCCUCCAUUCUUCUGCCAGAAAGCAAAGCUGGAAUCUCAUGAGACCAACUUCAUUGAUGCCUUAAAGUCAGUGACAAGGGAAAUAGUGUCUGAGGCCUGAGUUGUGAAAUAAAUAAAA